CAGUCGCCGCGGUAAUACGAAGGGUGCAAGCGUUACUCGGAAUUACUGGGCGUAAAGCGUGCGUAGGUGGUUGUUUAAGUCUGUUGUGAAAGCCCUGGGCUCAACCUGGGAAUUGCAGUGGAUACUGGGCAACUAGAGUGUGGUAGAGGGUAGUGGAAUUCCCGGUGUAGCAGUGAAAUGCGUAGAGAUCGGGAGGAACAUCCAUGGCGAAGGCAGCUACCUGGACCAACACUGACACUGAGGCACGAAAGCGUGGGGAGCAAACAGGAUUAGAUACCCCCGUAGUCCCUGUCUCUUAUAC
rnacentral:rRNA from 1 species